rnacentral:lncRNA from 1 species
GUGUGCACGUACGAUCUGGUUGAUUGAUUCACUCCACUUUAGCACAAAAAAAUUUCUUUUAAAUUUUCAAAAACUUUUAGUUCAUUUUAUUCUGCCGCACACUUUUUUCACUCCGACCCACUGUGCGUGUCGAAAUUUCUUCCACACUUCCAAGCAGCACUACACCCAGCUCGUUCACGACGACGACGAUACCAGCACACAACACAAUCGCGGUGCGAAAGAACGAAGGCGACGACGACGCCGGUAUUGUACUUGCCACGCGGGAAGCUCUUUAUUGUUCUUGUUGUGGCUCGAUUUGAUCCGAAAAUCGGCACAAAAAACUCGCGAGAAUUAGGACGGAUUCGCGAUCGUCGAGCACUGCUUUUAAUGUCCACCGGUUCACUGCAGGUUCCGGAGAGUCUCGACGGAAUUUCACGCCGCGAUGUACCGGCUGACAACGAUUUUCGCGAUAAAUUCGACGGACCGGCCGGAGCGCGACACUACACCAGCUCGCACACUGGGCCCCAAUUUUGGUACCUCCUAAAAAAAAACCUCCAUCGUAUUACGCAGGGUAAUACAUAAGAAUCACUUAUUGACGGAAGUAAAAUAUUAUAAAUCAAGAACACGCAUGGAAGUUUCGUUCGUUUCUUUCCUGAUUUAGAAUAUGUUCGAUUAAAAAUAUUCUAUCGGUGAAAACUGCGUUUUCAGAAAAAAAAGUGUGCGGUGAAUUUCUGCGAGAGCCCACCCCGAGCAGGGGUAAAUAACACGCCCACUGAGAAUUUUGGCUCGAGCCUCGACUCGAUUCAGGCUCGAUCUCGAGCCAGAUCGACUCGAUAUCAUGAAACUUAUAUGCAAGGUUCACAGCAAUUAUGAAUGUGUGCCCAAAUGUGUACAAAACCGUUUGCGCGUGUGUGUCAGUGUGCCAGCCAGCAGCAACAGCUGUGGUUCAUUUUGUGAAACUGCGCUCAAACGGCGGGCCACACAUUUGAUUCCGCGCAACGAGAUGCCAGACGGUUCCGGCACGAAGGUGGUCCAGAUGCAGAGCCUGUUUGGCCACAUCGGCCAGGUUAACGAAAUCCGCCUGUAUCCGACGUUCCGGUGUGUCCUGUUUGGUGGUGUCCUUGGUUAGCCGCGGUUACUUUGAGAGCAGCAGUAGGAGAUUACCAUCAACGGGACGAUGGUUGCCGGACGCUGUUGCAACCGGAGGUGAUGAACCGCAUCGUCGGAAUGUUUCCGACUCAGGUUCGUAGAAGAGAUCUGUGUGGUGUGGUGAAAACGAUGAUAAACGUUUUUUUGCAGAUAGUGAAAACGAUCGUUAAAAAACUGGACAAAACCAAUCUUCCGGUGUAUCCACCGCUGCCGGUCAACCUUGUCGCGAAAAAGAUUAUGGAGAAGCGUCGCACUUAACUCGAGCUAGACGUCAAGUCGGACAUUUGCUUGGAGAAUCUAAUGGACCACUUCAAGCACCCGGUAAGGUCAAGAGCACGCGGUGUGCAAAAAAGGGAGGCAGGGCUCGGAGUUCCGCGGCAACCGCUCCAACUCAUUCCGGAAAUUGCCCCAUUCGAAGCGAUCUUCCCCAGAAACAAACUGAGCCACUCCCGUUCGGGAGAAAACACCGCAAGUGCUCAAGUCCGGCCAUCAUAGUUUAAUAAAAGUUUCAUAAUUAAUCACAAACUUUUCUUUAAAUAUGGAAAGAAGAUUAUACACCAAUUUAAUAUUAGAAGUAAUACAUAAUAAUAAAAUGCAUGCCUAUCAAAAAUUAAUUGAAAAUUAAUUAAAAAUCAUGAGUGUUGCACUUACAUGCUAUAUGUGGGUGCAUAUUGCAACAUCAUUCAGUCUGAGAGCAUUGCAUAUACCAUUUAUGUGCUGUGAACAUACGUGUUAUAUGCAUUGGCAUAUUUCUAUUCCUUAUCCAUUUUUAUGCAGAGCUCACGCAGUUCAUGUGCGGCGCAUAUACAUGUCAAAUGUAGAGGCACUCUGCAAAAAUCUAUAUGCGAAAGUUAUAGCAUACAUCAUGAUAUUUAUUUCAGUGUAUUACUUGGGCAAAUAACAGGGACCAAAAUGUGCCCUUGGUUGCCCAGUAAUAGAUGGUAAAAUACCAUGAAAUCAUACAAAAAUCUUGUAUGUGGAAGGGCACAACAACACAAAAAAAUAUUACUGUAAUGACAAAAGUAACCUUAUUUUAAUUUAAAAAGCUGGCAAAAUUUGCUCGAGGGAAUGUUUUUUUCUUGUGUUAAAAAUUAUAACUUUUACUGGUAAAGUUUUAUGAAAUCUCUUCACUAACUGAUUUAAAAGUCUUAACUUUUAAUACGACUGUAUAGUUUCUUUCAUUUUGACGUUCUCGUAUAACCGAGUACGCCUAAGUCCCAAAUGUAAACAAACACUUUGGUGGGUCCGGUGCACCGCGGUGGUGCUGGUGAGUCUAGGACGCAAAGCAAAGCCGACGCGGAAACCUUUGUCAGCCAAACAGCAGCAGCGAAACGCCUUCGAAGGAAGGUGGUGCGGGUGCGGGACGGGGUCGAGUGCUCAAAAAGGACAAGGCCAGCUUCCUGCACGAACUGCAAGCUGUUCCGGGAACGGAAUGGGAUGGAAGGUAGGAAUGUGGAUUCGCACCGGUUAUAUUCGGUGGUGGUGGCCCGGGAUUGGAGGUUGAAGGUCAAUGGCGCUGCCGCAGCGUUGCAUGAACAACGAGUUUGCGUUGAAGAAGAUAAACGUCUGGUUUUUGGACAAGUACGAGAAAGUUAAUUUUCACGGUGAGUUGACGGAUCCGACGAAGAGGAGGACGACUAGUGGCAUAAUCGGAGGUGGUCAGCGCAGAUGUUGCACUCGGUGCAGGCGGUUUACAACACCGGUGAGUAUUAAGAAUGUGUGCAGUGGUUAGCCAACUUCACUUACUUCCAUCUCUUUUAGCAACUUUCCACCCACAAACGCUCACCUCGCGACGGCGCAGCUCCAGCUGAAUGAACCUGGACAGCUAGCCGGAAAAUCUGUCAUUCUCGAAGGAGGAUGAAGUGCUCAAAAUCGAAUUCUGUUCCAAGGAUCUCAUCAACCCCAUGUUCCGGAUGCGCUUCCAGGAUCGGGAUCUCCCCGUUCAAGCACUUCACUUCCCAGUCGGGAAACCCUUCCCGAAUCAACGGCCAACUCCUCCAAGACUGUCCUGAUGAAGUCCGGCAACGUGACCAUCCUGUUCUCUACACUGCUGUCGCGCAUCGAAACGUCCAUCCGGAACCGUCCAGCCUGGGGUCUUCGGAAGUGACCGGUGGCGUACCGUAAGAAUCGGUACAGCUUGGACUCUGAUGUUGGCCAACCUUGAGCAGAAGCGUUAAAUACAUUAUACAAAUGUUUUUUUUUUAGCUUGCCGUUUUGACUUUUAAAAAUAAAUAUGAAAAUCAAGCUCA